rnacentral:rRNA from 1 species
CCUACGGGUGGCAGCAGUGAGGAAUAUUGGUCAAUGGACGCAAGUCUGAACCAGCCAUGCCGCGUGCAGGAAGACGGCCCUAUGAGUUGUAAACUGCUUUUGUACGAGGGUAAACGCAGAUACGCGUAUCUGUCUGAAAGUAUCUUACGAAUAAGGAUCGGCUAACUCCGUGCCAGCAGCCGCGGUAAUACGGAGGAUUCAAGCGUUAUCCGGAUUUAUUGGGUUUAAAGGGUGCGUAGACGGUCGGUUAAGUUAGUGGUGAAAUCUCGAGGCUCAACUGUGGAAUUGCCUCUGAUACUGUACGCAUAGAGAGUAGUUGCGGUAGGCGGAAUGUGUGGUGUAGCGGUGAAAUGCUUAGAGAUCAUACAGAACACCGAUUGCGAAGGCAGCCUACCAAGCUGCUUCUGACAUUGAGGCACGAAAGCGUGGGUAGCAAACAGGAUUAGAUACCCGUGUAGUC